GUGAAUCUAAACAUCCAGGGCGCCACC
rnacentral:sRNA from 1 species